GACGAACGCUGGCGGCGCGCUUAACACAUGCAAGUCGAACGGAAAGGCCUGCUUUCCCUUGUGGAUUGCGGGUACUCGAGUGGCGAACGGGUGAGUAACACGUGAGUGAUCUGCCCCCAACUUGGGUAUAAGCCUGGGAAACUGGGUCUAAUUCCCGAUAGGACUGCAGGGUGGUGCCUGUGGUGGAAAACGAUUUUCUAGUGGUUGGGGAUGAGCUCGCGGCCUAUCAGCUUGUUGGUGGGGUAAUGGCCUACCAAGGCGGCGACGGGUAGCCGGCCUGAGAGGGUGGUCGGCCACAUUGGGACUGAGAUACGGCCCAGACUCCUACGGGAGGCAGCAGUGGGGAAGAUUGCACAAUGGGCGGAAGCCUGAUGCAGCGACGCCGCGUGGGGGAUGACGGCCUUCGGGUUGUAAACUCCUUUCGACCGCGAGGAAGCCACCUGGUUGGAAGGGUGGUGACGGUAGUGGUAGAAGAAGCACCGGCUAACUACGUG
rnacentral:rRNA from 1 species